ACACGGCCUCGUCGGAAAAAAAAUACACCAACGCAACCCGCAUGUUUGCUAUCGAAUGAAGGCUCCGACUCGGGCUGAAAGACACAAGAGUGAAUACAAGAAGCAGGUGGAGAAUUCGUGAGAAGGAGGGCUGCGCCGCUGUGGGUCACAACUGACUUGAAUCAUGGUUCUCAGCAGUGCAAGUGUAUGCUCCUUGGUCCACGUCCCUCACCUCGUCCACCAAGAGAAUGGACUGAAUCUGCUGACCAGUUGCGCCCCCGCCAACUGAAUUGAUGCUCUCGAGUGUAUACAGAGGUCUCCCAAUCUGCUCCCAACACGUUGAAAGGCCACUGAAAAACUUACAAACCUUAAUCAGCAGUUCACUAUUCUGGGGGGGAUGACAGAAGAACUUUAUGUGUGUAAGCUAUUUGAAAUAAAUUCUGUAAACACAU